rnacentral:rRNA from 1 species
UAGGGAAUCUUCCACAAUGGGCGCAAGCCUGAUGGAGCAACACCGCGUGAGUGAAGAAGGGUUUCGGCUCGUAAAACUCUGUUGUUGAAGAAGAACGUGCGUGAGAGUAACUGUUCACGCAGUGACGGUAUUCAACCAGAAAGUCACGGCUAACUACGNGCCAG